rnacentral:tRNA from 1 species
GCUGGAGUAGCUCAGUCGGUAGAGCAGAGCAUUCGUAAUGCUCAGGUCGUGGGUUCGAGUCCCAUCUCCAGCUCCA